AUUUCUAAAGUUACUCAUAGUCAAUUUAGUGAUAAUUUACAAGAUAAAUAAUAUUGUGGUAACACUAUAUUAAAUAGCAGCAGUAGGCCUACAAGUUAUGUAAGCAAAAGAUAUUGACCUUUAUUCAACAUGAAAUUUACUCCACCACCUUGUUUGUAGAGAUUCAACAUUGACAGUAGUUGUCCGCAAUCCCUCAAGUGAUAUUCACAGACUUUAAACUCUGUUUAGCAUUGGGGGGUUGGAUGGCUGAAUUGUUAGCGUGCGCGCGCGGUAUCAUAAAGUCUGUCAUUGAGUCGACUGGCGUGGUUUCGAAUCCCCGGUUGUACGUGGCAAGGAGUAGGGUCGCCUGUCCAACCUCGUGGAUUUUCUCCGGGUCCUCCGGUUUCCUCCCACUGCUAAAGACCCCUACGCGCAAGCGAAUUAUAAUUUAGCAUCAAUUUUGAAGGAGCUAUACAGUCAAGAUGACCAACUUUUCUCAGGCUAUACAACAAAAGGCCUACCAGUCUACGAGCAGUGCUAUUCCUGAAGGUGCUAUUCGCAUGACCCGGGAUGAAAUUCUAGAAUACAACAAGGACAGAGUAUCAAAUUGGUCUCCUCACUAUGAAAUGUGGCCGUUUGGAAUUGGUCAGGGAAUUCUGGGAGGAAUAGCAGUUCUAGGUUGCUUAUCUAUCAAUUCUCACUACAGAAAGAAGUUCUAUUUGGGCAACAUGGGCAGAUUCAAUACAUUUGCACCCACUGUGAUAAUUCCUACGUGCACCAUGAUGGUGGCUCAUGAAAUGUUUGUGAAAAACAAAAUUUUAGCUGCAGACUUCAGCUGCCCUGUUUGUGAAGAAAUUAAAUCAGGUGUUAUACAGGCUUUUGUUGGAACUGUUUAUCCUUUAGUGUUGGGGACAUUCAGUACAAUAAUUGUUGCUCGAU